UUCGUAGGCGGCGUAUUAAGUCAGUGGUGAAAUCCCUCGGCUCAACCGAGGAACUGCCAUUGAUACUGGUAUGCUAGAGUAUAGUUGGCGUAGGCGGAAUGUAUCAUGUAGCGGUGAAAUGCUUAGAUAUGAUACAGAACACCGAUCGCGAAGGCAGCUUACGAAACUAUAACUGACGCUCAGGAACGAAAGCGUGGGGAGCGAACAGGAUUAGAUACCCUGGUAGUCC
rnacentral:rRNA from 1 species